UGGCGGACGGGUGAGUAACGCGUGGGUAACCUGCCCUGUACAGGGGGACAACAGCCGGAAACGGCUGCUAAUACCGCAUAAGCCCGCGGCGCCGCAUGGCGCUGCGGGGAAAACUCCGGUGGUACAGGAUGGGCCCGCGUCUGAUUAGCUAGUUGGCGGGGUAACGGCCCACCAAGGCAGCGAUCAGUAGCCGGCUUGAGAGAGUGGACGGCCACAUUGGGACUGAGACACGGCCCAGACUCCUACGGGAGGCAGCAG
rnacentral:rRNA from 1 species